rnacentral:rRNA from 1 species
UACGAAGGGGGCUAGCGUUGCUCGGAAUCACUGGGCGUAAAGGGCGCGUAGGCGGCCAUUCAAGUCGGGGGUGAAAGCCUGUGGCUCAACCACAGAAUUGCCUUCGAUACUGUUUGGCUUGAGUCUGGUAGAGGUUGGUGGAACUGCGAGUGUAGAGGUGAAAUUCGUAGAUAUUCGCAAGAACACCGGUGGCGAAGGCGGCCAACUGGACCAGUACUGACGCUGAGGCGCGAAAGCG